GUGCUCACUUCAGCAGCACAUAUAUGAAAACUGGAAUAAUACAGAGAAGAUUAAGGUUAGUAUGGUUCCUGCACAAGGAUAACAUGCAAAUUCGCAAAGCAUUUUUUUUUUUU
ensembl:snRNA U6 U6 spliceosomal RNA